AUGCCAUCAAAGCUUAUGGAAACUCAGGAAGUUAGCUUUGCCCCCCAUAAGCUCUGCGCCUGCUGUUGUCAUUUCUCUCUGUCUUCCCAUCUACUUUCUUUGAAUCUAUUUUGGUCAAGCCCUUUUCUAAUUUGCAUUUUCAAAGUCAUGCUUAUUAAGCUAGUUAGAAAUGUGUCCUCUGUGACAACAGAGGGACUCUCCAAGGAGUUAAAUUCUAAUACUUUAAUACUUAAGUGGAACUCAAUAUCUUGUUUUACUUCUGAGAAGUUGAUCUGCUUCCUUCCAAGUGUUACUGUGCUGGCAAUUGAAAUGACAAGAUAUCAAGGUAUAUUCCAGACAACAAGGAGGGCAAAGACCAAAAAGGAAGAAACUAGUCCACUAGGACACCUUCAAGAAAGUGUUUCCAGAAGCCACAUCCAGCAGCUCCUGUUUGAAGCUCAUUGCUACAUUUGAGUCACAUGGCCCCUGCUAGCUGCAGUCAGAGCAAAUGAAGAGCCACUGAACCAUCAGCAUCGGGUAUCAGAUGAAGAGCCAUUUGAAGCCAGGAGGGACCAGGUCACACAUACGUUUUGGGUAGCUCGGAUUGCAAGGGAUGCUGGGGGCUGCGUCACAGAUCCUACUCACCUCUGAUCCCAGUGUGCCUCACUGGAACAUAAUUUACACUGCUGUGUUCAAGGACUUUCUCCUGGUAUCCUUCAGGGUCAUAACACUUCAGGUAUGUGUGUGUUGCCAUUUCCAGGUGAGCUCCCCCAUUUGAGGGUUAGUCAAUAGCAUGAACAGUCAAUAAGUUUCAAGAGGUGUUGAGGAGGGGUGUGGGUGUCCUCACAGCCCUCCUGGGCCUGGAGCUUGGCGUGGCCUGCCCAUCCUUGUAAGAAAGCGGGCAUUAAUCAGGCUGCUAGCAGUCACUUCCCCGUGCCCAGAGGUCUACCCAAGGACCCUCUAUGUGCCAGCUCUAAGAUCUCACUUUCCACCUCUUGACUACCAGUUCCUCGAGUGUAGGAGGAGUUUUGUGGUACUCCCCUGGGCUGGAGGUGCUCCCUGGGGCCCUUGUGGUGUUGGAGGGAGCUGCCAAUUACCUGGGCCACACACUUGUGCUACUGAAUUCAGGUCCCAUUCACUCAGCCUUCUUGCAUUGCAUGCCCGCUACGGGAUAGCUAUCGUAACGAGGAGGGGAGGAGAUCGUCGAAAUAUUUAGUAACUAGUAAAACAUGUGCACUAACCAGCUCGAACCAAUGUCUCACCAGUUGGUACAGGCACCGGUCAUGAAUUACUAGAACCAACUCAAUACCAGUCUUGGAAUCGGGCACUACCUCACAGAGUUGGAGAACUCUCAUCAUUGCUGUAACAUCACCCCCACCUGACUCCUGGCCUUCAGGGUGGUGGCAUGUGGAGGCAGAGGUCUUGGUGACAACAGAUUCCUGCUAGAGCAGAUUAGAGAGAGGCAGCUCCAGGGCUAAAUCUGCAUCUUCACCUCACUCGUGAAAGGUAAGAAUAACUGUGCUAUUCUGGGUACAACCUCCAUGAUUCUGAGGGUGAAGUUUGAAAGCUAAAGAUUAUCCUUCUGGUAGUUUUUUUAAAAGACUAAAAAAAAAAAAAAAAAAAAGAUUGAUUGAUUGAUUUGAAAGAGAGAGAGAGCAUGAGCAAGAGGGGCAGAGGGAGAAGGGGAGAGAGAAUCUAGAGCAGACUCCCUGUUGAGCGUAGAGCCUGAUGUGGGACUCCAUCCCAGGAUCCUGAGACGGUGACCUGAGCCUAAAUCAAGAGUCAGACGCUCAGUCAACUGCACCACCCAGGCACCUUCUUCUGGUCAUUUUUAAACUGGUUUUGUUUUUUUAGCAGAGCCAUUUUUGCAAAACUGUCCUUGUUUGGAAAUCCAAUCCAGGGGGUGGAAGCUGGGGUGGGCCCCACAGUCUCACCAUCCCCAGAAGCCCUGGACCCUGAGCAACCUAGCUAGGAAACCACCAAGUGCACUCCCCAUUCACAAAAGGGGGAAAGUGAGACUCAGAAAGAAGUGACCCAGCCACGGUGCUAACUGGUUCAAGUCAGACAAAUGGAAUCUAGGCUUCUGACCACUAGCCCUGGCAGGGCUAGCAAGGCGCUUGCAGGGGCAGCUGCAGGUUCUGUGUAUGGGGUCCAGAAGCCACAAGUGAAUAAAUCACAGCUAACAUUUGUUAGCUCCUCAGUCUUCAGGGAUCCCUUUCACCCCCACUGUCUCACUGAUACAAUAAUCCAAAUGAAUACCUACCAUCUCAUAGGACGUAAUAACCCAAGUGAACCAACCCAGAGGAGUUAAGUGAUCUACUCAAAGACAGGCCCCUAGAAACUAGAGCUUUCUCUGAACACAGCAUAACCUUGAUAGAAGUUAGUUAGUACAUGUUUAGAGCAAAUGUCAUGUUUCCCAAAGGCUGGUGGUCCCAGAGCAGGAGCUUCCGUAUUAACCUGGGAAAUUGUCAGGAAUGCAGGUUUGAGGCCCACCCCAGACCUUUUAAAUUAGAAAGUUUAGGAGUGGAGCCCCUAAAACAGCAAUUGGGUUUUUUUAACAAGCCUUCCAGGUGAUGCUGAUGACAACUAAAGUUUGAGAACCCCCAUGCUAAGGAACAAGGUCGUAUUUCUAUCUCCCCUACAGUCCUACAGCUGCCCUGUGUUGGAGGAGCCCUCAGGAGAGCUGGUGGGAGAUGCGCCCUUCCUGUGGGACCCGGGACCUGAGCAGUAAUUGGCUCUGCCUGCAUGUAUGUCAGGAAGGAGCCCAGGAAAGUCUGCACCAGGCCCGGUGCUUCUAAAUCCUACUAAGUAUUCUUUGUCACAUGCCUAGCAUCAUGGUAAAUACCACAUAGUAAAAGAUGCGCAACAUCCUGCACCUUACCUCUCUUCAUCUCCUUCUGAAGAAUAGAUUUUGAAUAGAUUCCCCAAGUCCCAAAAUCAUGGUGCACGCAGUGCUUCCCAAGCUUUUUUUUUUUUUUUUACUUUUUUUUUGCUUCCCAAGCUUUGAUGUGCAAAUGCAUCACCUAAUGAUACUGUUGGAAUAGAGAUUCCGACUCAGCAAAAGUGAAUAUUUAAUACAGAUAAUAAGAUUGCGGGUUCAGUAAAGACUUUAAAUCUCCUUCUGAAUGCUUGCGAAUCUUUCCCAAGGCCCUAAACUUAUCCCCAAAGUUAGAAAAGCAGAGAGAAAUUGCUAAGAUCGGAGACCCCAAUUAUUGCAGUUCAAAUUGGACAUAAUAAUUUACCACCAGGCAUUUGGGGGCUGAGCGCCGUGAAAGCUGAUUUGUCCCUAAGGGAGAUUCCACCUAAUAUCCCCUUUAAAAAGAUCAAUAGGGUGGUCAGAACUGGCGGGAUAAUCAGCUAGACAGUUGCCUUUCAGGGUUCCAGGAGGAAAAGUCCCUGGAGCACAUCCUUUGUAGUAAGUGCUGCUUGGGUAAUUGCUUUCAUUUGAUGGGAGUGCUCUGCACAAUCUCCUGAUGAAUUUAAUAGAAAGGAGAUAGACCCAGAAGACAUCGUGUUAUAUAUUGAGCCACGAGACCAGUUCAUCUAAACCUGAGAGACAAUUCCCAGAUUUUUCUGACUAGCAUUACAAGUUGAUGCAAACGCCAUUAAAAAAAAAAAAAAAAAUCAAGAGGCCCUAAUCUAAUCUCUGCUUUCUGAGAAUCCCCAGAAAUGUGUUACUGGAUAAUGACUUUCUUCACAACUUAAAGAAACUCCCAAGAACUGUUCGGAUGGUAGCCAAUAGCAAUGAAAAGCCCCAGAAUAAAGAUGGGUAACACGUGUUGAUGGCCCCCCUAUUUCCAGGGCUUGCCUAACCACACCUGGGGAUUAUCAUCACAAUCUCCACGUAUCAAGUUGGGUCAUUGCAGAUGCUGGCCUGCCUUCCGGUAGCCCAGUGUGACCACGACAUUCUGUCUUAAAGGAUUUACUGGACUUCUUUAUCAUAUUUUAUAAAUUUCUCUCCAACUGAUGGGGGAAAGAAAGCUAAACAAUAAUUGGGAAGCAGGACGAUAUCACCUCGAGGUAGCAAUGGGAUGCCAACUUUUAGGUUGUGAUGUUGCUUUAUUUGCUCAUCUGCAUAAAUAUAAAUAUUCAUUCUGUGAUGCUCCAGAGGAGCACUAAAGCAGGAUAAAUUCUGUUGGGCUCAUUUGCGUCAAGCCCUGUAAUGAUCUGUCACCAGUUACUUGAAAUAUUCAUGUAUUUUCUUUCAUUUCACUCAGCAGAAUCCAAAAAGCCAAGAUGGCCUUUCUACAAGAGACAGGUG
rnacentral:lncRNA from 1 species